AUACGUAGGGGGCGAGCGUUAUCCGGAAUUAUUGGGCGUAAAGAGUACGUAGGUGGUUGCGUAAGCGCAAGGUGAAAGACCGGGGCUUAACUUCGGUGAGCCUUGUGAACUGCGUGACUUGAGUGCAGGAGGGGAAAGUGGAAUUCCUAGUGUAGCGGUGAAAUGCGUAGAUAUAAGGAGGAACACCAGUGGCGAAGGCGACGUUCUGGACUGUAACUGACACGGAGGUACGAAAGCGUGGGGAGCAAACAGGAUUAGAUACCCUGGUAGUCCACGCCGUAAACGAUGAGCACUAGGUGUUGGCGUAGAAAUACGUCGGUGCCGAAGUUAACGCAUUAAGUGCUCCGCCUGGGGAGUACGCACGCAAGUGUGAAACUCAAAUGAAUUGGCGG
rnacentral:rRNA from 1 species